UACGUAGGGACCAAGCGUUGUUCGGAUUUACUGGGCGUAAAGGGCGCGUAGGCGGCUCGCGAGGUCGGGGGUGAAAUCCCGCAGCUUAACUGCGGAAGGGCCUCCGAUACCGGCGGGCUGGAGGAAGGUAGGGGUGCGCGGAACUUCUGGUGGAGCGGUGAAAUGCGUUGAUAUCAGAAGGAACGCCGGCGGCGAAAGCGGCGCACUGGACCUUUUCUGACGCUGAGGCGCGAAAGCUAGGGGAGCAAACGGG
rnacentral:rRNA from 1 species